UGCCGGGGACGACCCCGGAAAACAUCUUUUCACGUGGCGGGACGGCCCGC
rnacentral:ncRNA from 1 species